AGCGAACGCUGGCGGCAGGCCUAACACAUGCAAGUCGAGCGGAUGAUGAGAGCUUGCUCUCUGAUUUAGCGGCGGACGGGUGAGUAAUGCCUAGGAAUCUGCCUGGUAGUGGGGGAUAACGUUCCGAAAGGAACGCUAAUACCGCAUACGUCCUACGGGAGAAAGCAGGGGACCUUCGGGGCUUGCGCUAUCAGAUGGGCCUGGGGCGGGUUAGCUGGUUGGUGGGGUAAUGGCUCACCAAGGCUACGAUCCGUAACUGGUCUGAGAGGAGGAUAAGGCACACUGGAACUGAGACACGGCCCAGACUCCUACGGGAGGCAGCAGUGGGGAAUAUUGGACAAUGGGCGAAAGCCUGAUCCAGCCAUGCCGCGUGUGUGAAGAAGGUCUUCGGAUUGUAAAGCACUUUAGGUUGGGAAGAAGGGCAGUAAGUUAAUACGUUGCUGUUUUGACGGUACCGACAGAAGAAGCACCGGCUAACUUCGUGCCAGCCGCCGCCGUAAGAC
rnacentral:rRNA from 1 species